GAAUAUUGGACAAUGGGGGGAACCCUGAUCCACCCAUGCCGCGCGUGUGAAGAAGGCCUUUUGGUUGUAAAGCACUUUAAGCGAGGAGGAGGCUACUCUAGUUAAUACCUCGAGAUAGUGGCCGUUCCCCGCAGAAUAACCCCCGGCUAACCCCGUGCCAGCAGCCGCGGUAAUACAGAGGGUGCAAGCGUUAAUCGGAUUUACUGGGCGUAAAGCGCGCGUAGGUGGCCAAUUAAGUCAAAUGUGAAAUCCCCGAGCUUAACUUGGGAAUUGCAUUCGAUACUGGUUGGCUAGAGUAUGGGAGAGGAUGGUAGAAUUCCAGGUGUAGCGGUGAAAUGCGUAGAGAUCUGGAGGAAUACCGAUGGCGAAGGCAGCCAUCUGGCCUAAUACUGACACUGAGGUGCGAAAGCAUGGGGAGCAAAC
rnacentral:rRNA from 1 species